rnacentral:snRNA from 1 species
GUGCUUGCUUUGGCAGCACAUAUACUAAAAUUGGAACGAUACAGAGAAGAUUAGUAUGUCCCCCGUGCAAGGAUGACAUGCAAAUUGUGAAGCAUUCCAAAUUUUU